UAAGUUCAUUCCCUCAAGUUAAACCCACACUGUACGGUUUCUGGUUUCAUCCUGCUUGUAUGCAAGAACAUAAGACUGCUGAAGACUGUAGUGUUAAUAAAGUGAAUCGAAAAGAUUUAUUCAUCUGAUCGCCUCAAUAUUCUGGGCUUUUAGCUGUGGAUUAGCCGUCCGAAGCUCCGUCCAGGACUGCCAAGCUCACAACUGACACUCUGACAGGAGGUUGUUUAUUUCAGCGGCUCACUCCCUUCCCAACAGGGAGGUUAGACAGCAGUCCGACGUCCCACAAAUGCCAAGGAUGCAACGCAUCACCAAGAAAACACGUUCAAUUUCAACAAGAACUGUUCACGUAAACGGGUAAAGUUGCCGUCUCCUCUGGGAACC